rnacentral:rRNA from 1 species
GAUGAGCGCUGGCUACAGGCUUAACACAUGCAAGUCGAGGGGAAACGGCGGGGAAGCUGGCUUCCCCGUGCGGCGAGCGGCGCACGGGUGAGUAACGCGUAUCCAACCUGCCUCUGACUGAGGGAUAACCCGACAAAAGUCGGCCUAAUACCUCAUGUCAUCGGCUGCAGGCAUCCAACGACGAUUAAAGAUGUCAUCGGUCAGGGAUGGGGAGGCGUCGGAUUAGCUUGGUGGCGGGGUAACGGCCCACCAAGGCUACGAUCAGUAGGGGUUCUGAGAGGCAGGUCCCCCACAUUGGAACUGAGACACGGUCCAAACUCGUACGGGACGCAGCAGUGAGGAAUAGUGGGCAAUGGGCGGGAGCCUGAACCAGCCAAGUAGAGUGCAGGAUGACGGCCCUAUGGGUUGUAAUCUGCUUUUAUGCGGGGAUAAAGUGAGGGACGUGUCCUUCAUUGCAGGUACCGCAUGAAUAAGAACCGGCUAAUUCCGUG